rnacentral:rRNA from 1 species
AAAGUCGUAACAAGGUUUCCGUAGGUGAACCUGCGGAAGGAUCAUUAUCGAGUUUUGAAAGGGGUUGUAGCUGGCCUUUCGGGGCAUGUGCACGCCUCGCUCAUUUCCAACUCUAACACCUGUGAACUAGCUGUAGGUCGGUGUAGGAGUCGGUUCUAACGAGCCUUCUUCAAGCCUUCCUAUGUCUUUAACAAACUCCAAUAGUAUCAGAAUGUAUUCGCGCUUUAUAAACGCAUCAAUAUAACUUUUAGCAACGGAUCUCUUGGCUCUCGCAUCGAUGAAGAACGCAGCGAAAUGCGAUAAGUAAUGUGAAUUGCAGAAUUCAGUGAAUCAUCGAAUCUUUGAACGCAUCUUGCGCCCUUUGGUAUUCCGAAGGGCAUGCCCGUUUGAGUGUCAUUGUAUUCUCAAAUCCCUUCACUUUUGUGAAGUCGAUUUGGAUUUGGGGGUUUGCGGGCUUAUAUGGUCUGCUCCCCUUGAAUGCAUUAGCUGGAACCUUUUGCUAGACCGGCUUCGGUGUGAUAAUUAUCUGCGCCGUGGUCGUAAGGCGACUUGUCGAGGAUCCGCUUCCAAUGGUCUCUUUUAGAGACAAACUU